rnacentral:rRNA from 1 species
GACGAACGCUGGCGGCGUGCUUAACACAUGCAAGUCGAACGGUGAAGCGCCUUCCUUUUUGGUGGGUGUGGAUGAGUGGCGAACGGGUGAGUAACACGUGAGUAACCUGCCCCCUUCUUCUGGAUAACCGCAUGAAAGUGUGGCUAAUACGGGAUAUUCUGGGUCUGUCGCAUGAUGGGUCUGGGAAAGAUAUUGUUUCGGUGGGGGAUGGGCUCGCGGUCUAUCAGCUUGUUGGUGUGGUGAUGGCCUACCAAGGCGGUGACGGGUAGCCGGCCUGAGAGGGUGGACGGUCACACUGGGAAUGCGACGCGGAGCAGACUACUAGGGGAGGCAGCAGGGGGGAAUAUUGCACAAUGGGAGCAAGGAUGAUGCAGCGCCGCGGGGUGAGGGAUGGACGCCGUAGGGUUGUGAACCUCUUGCGGGAGUGAAGCGGGGCUGGCUCGUUUGUGGGUGGGUUGACGGUAGCUGGAUAAGAAGCGCCGGCUAACUACGUG